CUGUGGACUCUCGUUCUGACGGCACCCAUUCACUGCAGAGGAUCCAUUGGUGAGCAAGUGAUGCAAAGCUAAAUUACUACCAUCUGUUCAAAUGAAGAACAAACUGUACAUCUUGGAUAGCCUGAGGGAUCCCCACAUGUGACCCCAGGCUGGCUUCCUCAGGAGAUCUGCAUAAACUUGUCAAAGCCAGGCUGUUUGAGGUAAGCUCUACACCUAGACAAAAAGUGUGCGACCCACGUAUUGCUGCAUUGUUCCACCACCAUUUUGUCCCCAACCAACUGAACCUGGUCUCCCUGGGACUGCUGUUGAAU